UGCAACUCGCCUGCACGAAGUUGGAAUUGCUAGUAAUCGUGGAUCGAGCAUGCCACGGUGAAUACGUUCCCGGGUCUUGUACACACCGCCCGUCACACCAUGGGAGUUUGUAACGCCCAAAGUCGGUGGCCUAACCUUUAUGGAGGGAGCCGCCUAAGGCGGGACAGAUGACUGGGGUGAAGUCGUAACAAGGUAGC
rnacentral:rRNA from 1 species